UCUCAGAAUGAAUCUUAAGUAUAUUUAUUCAUCACAAUGGAAGACUCAUUAUUGAGAAGGGGCAGAUUGAAGAAAAGUGAUUAUAAUGGGAAAAAAGAGGGAAAAAGAAAGAAAAAUAUCAAUAAAACAUUGAAAAAAUGCAUAAAGGAAAAAAAAGAAGGAAGAUCAGAAAGGGCCACAAACAAGCAGGGCAGUAUUGGCACUAUUGUAUUAAAUUGAAUAAAUACUUAAUAAAAACAAAGCACAUAAUAUAAGUUCAUGAUAGUAUUAACAUAUCAUUAAGAGCUAAAUGGAAUGUUGUCAAAAAGACAGUUGAGAGUGACAGUUGUAAGAGAUCUUUGAAGUGUUUCUCCCUAUGGAGUCAAAAAGAACAUGUAUUUUAUCUUUGAUCUAUGAGGUUUCUGUGAGAUUAAUUAUGGAAAGGAGAGAGUGAAAGAAGGUAAGGAGAAACUUCUUUCUUAUGAGGACUAUCUUAUAUUAUGAAGAAGUAUGAUACUGUAUAAGGAACUGGACAUUUGCUGUAUAUUCCAUAAAGACAAUUUUGUGUGAUGGCUAAGUCAAAAGAAAGGGAGAGAGAAAGAGCGAGAGAGAAAAAGAGAAAGAGAGAGAGAAGCAUCACUUAUUCCUGAAGAGACUGAAUUUAAUUACCUUGAGAAAAAAUAUGAAUAGAAUUCUUGAAAGACUUUAAUCAAUAUCUGGAGUGAACUGAAUUGGAAGUCAUCUCUUGAGGUAAAGGCAUAUGCUCCUGACUGAGGUACUGCUGUCAACUAUGGUGAGGAAAGGUCAACUUCUAAAAUAAUUCCUUGUGGAGAAUUUCUUUUGUAUUUGGAGGACUGUUGUGAAGAAAAUUCUUUAAAAAUAAUGAAAUAAAUACUAGAAAAUAUGAGAUGUUAUUAUGAUUCCACAUAAAACCUAACACUAAUGAUUCAUUGUGGAAAGGAGGCCAUGCAACUCACAUAUGAGAAUGGAAGAGACUUAGAGUUGGAAAACUAGAGAAUUCCAAACUCUUGACUAAGCUGUUUGGUACUAUUGGGCAAAUAAUCAUUGACUGGUUUAUGAUAUAGUCUUCUGAGAUCCAUAUCAAAAGGCAAAUAGAAUGCUUAUCAAUUAGCUAAACUGGUGCUGCCCAUGGAGACCUUAAAUCCAGUGAUGAAAAAGUUUAAUAUAAAAAAAAAGGAAUUAAAUCUGAAGGCACUGACUAACUGGGAAGACUUUGUUGUUUGUUCUAAAGGAUUUAGCAUCAGGUAUGAAGAUCUCCUACUGAGGAGUUUCACAAGAGAUUCUGGGGCAAGAACACUAGAGAAUGCUAAGGGAGAUUUGGAUGGAAUAAAGGAAAGAGAAAAGCCAAUGUCCUCAAGCUAAAAGUAUAUGGCAACUCUGAUCCCUCCUCACCCCAAGAUAUAGUCAAGGAUAUCAAUAGACCCAGAAAUUAUAGUGAGU